rnacentral:rRNA from 1 species
GAUGAACGCUGGCGUCGUGCCUAAAACAUGCAAGUCGAGCGAAUGGAUUAAGAGCUUGCUCUUAUGAAGUUAGCGGCGGACGGGUGAGUAACACGUGGGUAACCUGCCCCUAAGCCUGGGAUAACUCCGGGAAACCGGGGCUAAUACCGGAUAACAUUUUGAACCGCAUGGUUCGAAAUUGAAAGGCGGCUUCGGCUGUCACUUACGGAUGGACCCGCGACGCAUGAGGUAGUUGGUGAGGUAACGGCUCACCAAGGCAACGAUGCGUAGCCGACGUGAGAGGGUGUUCGGCCACACUGGGACUUAGACACGGCCCAGACACCUGCGGGAGUCAGCAGUAGGGAAUCUUCCGCAAUGGACGAAAGUCUGACGUGGCAACGCCGCGUGAGUGAUGAAGGCUUUCGGGUCGUAAAACUCUGUUGUUAGGGAAGAACAAGUGCUAGUUGAAUAAGCUGGCACCUUGACGGUACCUAACCAGAAAGCCACGGCUAACUACGUGCCAGCCGCCGCAGUAA